UACAGAGGUCUCAAGCGUUGUUCGGAUUCAUUGGGCGUAAAGGGUGCGUAGGCGGCGCGGUAAGUCGGGUGUGAAAUCUUGGAGCUUAACUCCGAAACUGCAUUCGAUACUGCCGUGCUUGAGGACUGGAGAGGAGACUGGAAUUUACGGUGUAGCGGUGAAAUGCGUAGAUAUUGUAAGGAAGACCAGUGGCGAAGGCGGGUCUCUGGACAGUUCCUGACGCUGAGGCACGAAGGCCAGGGGAGCAAACGGG
rnacentral:rRNA from 1 species